AAAGCUUCAAUUUACUCAUUUUAUUGAAUGAGCGAAAACAAGUUUUUGGGCUUCUCGUUUAGGAAGGAAACAGAAAUGUCGUGGAUAAGAGACUUUAAACUGAAAUCGGACAAGUAUAAAUUAUUUAUUUCUACGACGCAAUAUUGACGAAAUUUAACUUUUUUCGAAGAUGCAAGUUGUUUUCACUCCCUGGACUGAUGAAAUUGUAAAACGUUAACUCUGAAAUAUGUUUAAAAUUUUUCCGAGAGCCUCAAAACCAAAUAUGGUUUAAACUGCUACUAAAAACAUAUACUUUAUAUUGAGAGAUAAUUUGUUUAUCUCAAAAUACGGAAUAGUAGGAAUUAUCGGACAUUUCCGUCGGAACCCGAGGCAAUUCCGAUGUAUAAGUUUGCGCAAAAGUUGCAUUUUAUACAUUUGUUUAGCCUCCGAGCGUUCCCAUACCUUUCUCGCCUUCCCAAUAAUGCAAUAGAUUCAACAUUUUUGGUUAGCUGAAAAAACAAAACAAUAAAACGCUCAAAAAUCAAAUUACUAUAUUUACUCGCCCUAAGUCUCUUUUCUCCUAAACCGCGCAAAUUGUAGCGCAUGCGCAGACAAAAUUCCCAGCUGUUCUUGUCCACAUAUUGUGUAUUGUUGUAAUUGUCUGACCCACAUGUCUUCAUGGUUUUGUCAUAUAGAGACGACGCCUACGUAUGGCAAGUGGUCCAUCUAAUGUUCAAGAAGGUGUCGCGAGGUGAGGGGAACUAUAUUAACUUAUGGUGAGGGGAGAGUUCCCCUUUUGGUGAGGGGAACUAUAUUAACUUAUGUUAUUAUUUUACCAACAAAUCCCUUAGUUUGAUAUAUCAAAGGUACAUACAAUCUAUACCACUAAUCUUGUCCCUUGGUAUAGUUUCUAUGCUUAGCUAAGCAUUCGUCACAAAUUCAAAAUGCUUUCUAAAGCCGUUUUGAAACUUUUGAUUAAAGCUAUAACUAAAGGUGGCUGGAAAGCUUUUUUCUGAUAUCGUUAAUAAUCUUUUUGAAGGGAUUGGUCUUUGGUGUAUCUGGUGUUGUUACGAAACCUUUUCAGGGUACGUUUUCGAAUCACAAAAUUAUCCUGCAUGUGUUUAAUUUAGUAGAUUGCUAUAGCUAGCAUGGCUUCAAUUUCAAUUUUCAUACAGGUGCUCGAGCUGAUGGUGUUGAGGGUUUUUUCAAAGGAUUUGGGAAAGGAAUCUUAGGGUUAGUCACAAGACCUACAGUGGGAGUUUUUGAUAUGGUCAGCACAACAUUAGAUGGAAUAAGAAGGUAAAUAUUUAGUCAGAUGACAUAAAACCUAAGGAAAAUUUAUGGAAAGCAUGUACAAUGCAUCUCCCUUAUCCUCCUUUAAAUCACUUUGUAAGAUUAUUUCAAGCAAGGAAACAAAUCUUUUCAAAUCGGCGUACGAAGAGCCUUGAUCCCGUGGAUCUGUAGCUUUUUGUCUGGUCGGAUGCAGUCUGUAAAAGUUAAUCAAUUUACCUCUAACUGGGCUCCUGUUACUGCCGGUGUCCCGCAGGGUACCAAGCUUGGCCCUAUCCUAUUCCUCGUAAUGAUCAACGACCUUGCCAGCCAUUCUCCGUUGAGGUCUAGUAAUUGGAUGUUUGUUGAUGACGUUACCAUCUUCCAAGCCAUCCAUCGUAACUCCCCCCCUGGAAUACAACAAGAUCUCCACUCUAUUAAUGCCUGGUCGAUGAGUAAUAACAUGAAAUUACACCCUAAAAAGUGCAAGGACUUUACCAUCUCUUUUCUUCGCAACCCCCCGCAAGAACUGUCUUCUACAUUGUCGAUCAACUCCCAACCUUUAGAGAAGGUCACCUGUUUUAAACUGCUAGGAGUCACCUUACAAAACGAUCUAAAAUGGAACGCCCAUGUUGACUCUAUCACGUCCAAAGCUUCAAAGAGACUUCAUAUUUUGCGAGUUUUGCGUAACUCCGGUGUGUCUGCCAACGACCUCCUGACUAUCUACAUUUCGAUUAUCAGAUCUGUGCUAGAAUACUGCUGUGCAGCCUGGAAUACAUCUAUCCCCUCCUACCUUUCCGGAAAAAUCGAGAGGGUUCAACGUCGUGCUCUGCGGAUUUUAUAUCCAAACAUGUCCUAUUCAACCGCGCUUGCUACCUCCUCUCUUCCCCGUCUAUCCGAUCGUCGUGAUACUCUUUGUAAGAAGGUUUUGGAUAAAAUAACAAUACCAUCAUCACGCCUUAACCGCAUUUUACCUCCGAUCCGGAUUGAGUCGCAUGGCAGAGAACUGCGCCACUCUAGUAAUCUUAGCCUAUUUAAGUGUAGGACGGACAGAUUUAAGAACAGUUUCUUCCCAGCUAUGUGCUCACGUACUAUGAACAAGUCAUGACCGUUGUCAAUUAGGUUUACAAUCUAAAUUUCCAUUUUUAUAUAACUCCAAUUCCUAGUUUUAAAAAGUAACAGUAGUCUUCAUAAUUUUAUGCUUGUAAAAAUACUAUAAUUCACUAUUACUUGUAUUAGUGCGAUUGUAUUUUAAAUAUACCGUCUAUUAUUAUUAUUAUUAUUUUUUUUUUCUUUUUUGGUGAAGAUCUGCAGAACAAGAUGGCGAAGACGUGGUUGUCAGGAUGAGAAUGCCAAGAUUUAGUCCACCUGAUGCUGUAAGUUGUUUUGGAACACUUUUGGGUGUUUUACGUUGACGUUACUGAUAUUUGUUGUGUAUGAAAUACUAUAUGUAUUAUAUUUUUUAGCCUUUACGACCAUAUAUUGAGUAUCAAGCAAAUGGGAAUGCCAUCCUGAAGGUGUGUUUAUUAUUUCCUACUUCAUUGGGUUUUUUGUUUCCAUAUUUAUUCCGACGAACAGUUGCAUCUUAAUUAAAAAUGGUUUAGCAUAAGCCCGAUUACAAAAGAAUUAAAAUUUUAUCUCCUGGCUUUGCAAAUCGAAAACGUAAAUAAUUGUCUUGCCUUUGCUUUGUUUAUGCUGGAGGCUUCUGCAAAUACUUGUCGUUAUAUUGAAGCUAUAGGUGAUAAACUUUGCUGCAAUUUUUUUCGCUUUCGUUUUUCCUUUUAGUUCUUCUGCACGUUUCGAUGUUAUAUGCAUAUCAAAGAAUUUCUUUUCUGACGUAUAAACUAAACGAUAAUAAGCAAUUAUUUAAAAAUUAAUGGUUUUCUGAUUGGCUAACAGACAACUUUGAAAUCGUCAUAUCAACUCAAUAGCUGAGCAAACAUAGAGUUUUGGCGUGAUAUUUGACGUCAUAACAUUGAAUAUGAAAAAAUUAUACGAAUACGAAAUGUGGAAACACGACCAAAACAAUAUGACACCGCCUUCGGCAGUGUUUGCAGGUUUAAAGAAAACAACUUUUAAAAUGUAAAGAAGAAAUAUCAACGAAAUAUCUUAGCGUCCUUAUAACAGAAAAAUGAAAGAUUUUCUGCAAAUGGGGAAAAUUUUCUGCAAGUGCAGAUGUUUUUUUUUACCUUUUAAAUAAAUAAAUAAAUAAAUUAUUGAAUUCGGUUUUCGCAAGAUAUGAAGAAUUAUCAAAGCUUCAGUUCGUGUUAUCAACAAUAGCCUUCGGUUCUUCAUAUCAUGAUCAACCUCAUCCAAUAAUUGUUUAAUGUACGGGAUUUAUACGUUGCCGUUUCGACAUUUUAAGAGUUUACCAAGGACAAGAGAAAUCAUCUGUGACAUUUACACUGAUCACACACCACUUCCAAAGAAUGGUCAUUCUUCUAUAGCAAUUUUUACUAACAUGUAAGUAUAUUCUGGUGAUUUUUUUUAGCAAUAUUUAAUUACUUAAGUGGUUGUUAACUUGAUUUUUAAAAUUGUUCAAUUAGUCAUAAAUAAAUGUGUAUUUUCGCCAUGCAAACAUGCAAAAAAAAAAGUGUUUACCGGACGCCUUAUGGACUGGGAGCUCCUCCUUAGAAGGAAAGGAGGGACUGCACACAACACAUCAAGAAACGAAAUACUGUACGUCCACAUUUCGCACCGCCUAUUUUUUAUUUGGUCGAAAUAACAUACCAAACGCUUUCGUUGAAAAUGAUACAAGAUCAUAUUAAUAUGACAUAAUUUGACGGUUAACUUUCAAAUUUGGAAACAAUUCAUUUAAGUUAAUUAAGAUCUGCCAAUCAACCAAUCGGAAUUUUGCAUUUUAUGUGACGUUUCUUGAUGUGUUGUCUCACUUGUUUGCAGUCUCUCCUUUCCUUCUUACAACCUCUUCAAUCAAACUAUAUUCAAUCCCAGACAAAAAUCCUUGGCACACUUAUAACGCCUGUAUUCUAAAAGCUCACUCACCAUUCAUCGAGUCUCCACUCAUAGUAUGGUACGGCAUACAUUCUCCAGCUAUUCAAAAACAUCACUCACACAGUGAAGUGUAGUGAAAGGUAUACCUCCCUUUGGCUACACUUAUCUGUGCUCAAUAAUACAAUCAUGGCGGAUACAGGGGGCUAAACAGGUCAACAUUAGUGAUAGAACUUUCUAAAACUCGAAAAGAAUACUUUUCAAUAAACGUGCAAACAGUUUGCGGACCAAGUUUAGAAAUGCUAAACAUUGUGGCACGUUAGCCACCAAGCCAGAAUUUUUGACAACAGUCGCACUGGUCGAACCGUCCUGCUUCACCCAGAAUUUAUUAAAUACAGUAUCAAGUUGAGUCUGCGCAUCCGGAAAGCAAAGGUUGUGCAGUCACGUGGAUUUCCCCUAAAAAACAGGGAAGGUCUGUGAUUGGUCAGUUACUAAAUAUUCAUGAUUAGUAAUAAUUUAUGCUAAACGCCACUAGACUGGAGUGUCGAAACGUUGGGUCUUGAUUACAAUUCGACUGGGCUUUGUAAUAAUUUAUUUAAACCAGAGUAGCGAGCGAAAUAUGAGCGAAAUAAAUAUGUUGAAUUUUAAUUUCGGUGCACCCUCAAACGAUAGGAAAGAAAUCAUUUAAUGAUUUUUUUGUCAAUAUUGAAACAAAAUUAGCUUACGAGAUUAAUAAUGACUACUUAGAUGAAACCCCAACGAAUAGUUACACUCCCUCACUCAAUUCAACCAUCACAUUUCCUGAAAUUAGUACGGUCAAAGUUAUUUGUGAGUUACUCAAUCUGAAAGUAUCGAAAUCAACAGGUAUUGAUAAUAUUCCAGCUAAAGUCCUUAAAAUAUUCGCGGACGUAAUAGGUCCAUCAAUAACUAAGAUUUUCUACCUUUCAUUAAAAUCUGGAAUUUGUGUUGAUAAAUGGGAAAAGGCCAGGGUUGCACCAAUUUAUAAAUCAGACGAUAAACGCCAUGCGAAAAUUUUCUUUUUUUUUUUAUCAACAGAUUUGUUGUCAACCAGACAUAUAAAUGUCUUAACGACAAUUCGCUGCUGUCGAAAUUUCAAGCAGGAUUUCGCGUCCUAACAACUGUGAUGAAUGAUACGAAAAUAUAAUAAAAAUUGAUACAACUGUGAUGAAUGGUACGAAAAUAUGGAUCAAGGCAAAUUGAACGGAGUUGUGUUCUUAGAUAUCCCUAAUGCCUUUGAUUCAAUUGACCACAAAAUAUUAAUAAGUAAAUUAGAAACGCAUUUUAGUGUCUCCAAAUCUGAAUUAAAUUGGUUUGAAUCUUACCUAAUAAACCAAGAACAUGUAUCGUUAAUGGCCACUCGUCGUCACCCCAAAGAUCGUUUGCGGUAUCCCACAGGGGUCCAUUUUAGGGCCUUCGCUAUUUCUACUUCAUAUUAAUCUACUAGCCGGAGAGCCUCCGAAAAGCUAUAGCUACGCCUUGUUUAUACGCUGAUGAUUUCCAAAUAUUUUCUUCCUCUAAUGAUUACACUGAGCAGAUUGAUAACUUAAACUCUGAAUCUCUGACCGACACCAAAUAAGCAAUUGGCUAGUAACUGCAGCAUCACCACACUAAAACUAAGUUUACGACUAUUGGGUCGACGUAUAAUCUUAGUACUGAAGUUUAUGAUUAUCCUGUGAUUUUCAACAAUAAGUCUAUUAGUGGAACUAGCAAAUAACUAGUGCUUGAUAAACUCCAAAAUUUUCAAAAUCGUGCGGCAAGAAUAAUUGCCGGCGCAAUACAAGUCACGAAAUUAGCUCUGCUGACGUUCUUGAAUCUCUUGGUUGGGUAACUUUAGAAACAAGAACACAGAAGUUGAUGUCAAUUCUUCUGUAUCAAAUUUUAAAUGAUUACACUGCCCCUCGUUUGAAAGAGUCACUGAUUAGGAUUAGUUCAAUGCAGGUCAUAAUCUUAGAAACGGUAAUACUGAUAUAUUCUGUUCAAAAACCGGGACGGGAGUUCUGAAAAAAGCUUUAAAACAGUGCGACAAAACUUUGGAACUGCCUUUCUCGGGAAGCGAAAGAGGCGCAAUCUAUUUAUUCCUUUAAAAUGAAUAUCUAAAUUAGUAAUUAAUGUUUGUGUAUGGGACACACCUACUCUACAAGAUCUUGAUAUUAACACGCUAUAUGCAUGCAACAUUGUAUGACGGGAAUGGAGGUGGAUAUUGUGGUGGGAGGCAAAUUGAAUACUGUAAAUGCGAAGUGUGCCAAAUUAAGUUGAAUAUUUUUGUAUGAAAAUUAUAAUGUAUGAAAAUUAUAAAUUUAUAAUGUUAAAAGUACAAAUCUACAUUUGUUUUACUCCUGUUAUCAAUCAACACGGUUCUGCACUGAAAAUUCCUACCACAUAUAAGUUAGAGUUAUAAACCGAGAAGGAGGUUUAUAACUGAUAUAUUGCCCCCGAGGACGCGCAGCGUCCGAAGGCAAUAUAUCAGUUAUAAACCGACUUUCGAGGUUUAUAACUCUAACUUAUAUCUCAUUUGUGGAGGUUUUCUAACAUAUUUUGUCAUUUUCAAAAAUUUUUGAUGAAAAAUUCUCGCGUUUUGUCGAAAAGUUUGAUGUAAUUAUUUAUUCAAGGUAUAUUAGCUAGUUGUAAACCUCGGACGAUCAAAGAAAACCGACACAAAUGAGAUAUAAGUGGUAAAACGUUACUGCAUGUUUAAUAUAUGGCAAGCAUCACUUCCGGUGAAAUGGCGGACUGUGAUUGGCUGAGAAGCACUUUCAGCGGUCCAUUAUUUAAAUAAUGUAAAUAUAAACGCAUGUAUUUUAAAACAAAACAGCAAAACUAAUUGAAAACUAAUUAAUUUGUUAUCAAUAAAAUGUCCGCGAAUGGUUUUAAUUAAGUGGAAAGGAAGGAAUACAUUGGUAAUUUUUGUUUUCUUCGAACAAAUUUGUACCACGCUACUAAUACGCAUUUCAAAUCAUGUAUUUCUUGUUUGUUUCGAGUAUAAAUGCCUAUAAAUGCCAUAUAAUAAACUUUUUAUUAACCUUGCUUGCUCGGUCUUUACAGAGAAAUAUCGGACCUCGGUCGUUUUGAACAAACCUCGCCCUACGGGCUCGGUCUGUACAAAGAAGACCUCUGUCCGAUAUUUCUCUGUAAAGACUUCGCGCUCGGUUAAUAAGAAAUUAUUAUAUGGCUUUUCAAAAUUCUCUAUUCUGAUUGGUUGACAAGCGGUCCGUAAAAACCCAUAUCCGGACCGUGGUCCGUAUUUUCCGUAUCUGCACCGGUGUCCCGGAUGUCGUUUAUCUGGCGGGAAAUUUUUGCUUUGCAAACAUUUAAUAUAAUAUUGAUAAAGAUUGAUUAAUAUAAGAUUGAUUAAUAUAAUAUUGAUAGAUAAAAAUUUCAAACAACCAAAUUGUUUUUGAUUGAGCAUGCAUGCCUACCGUAUACCCAGUGAAACUGACGAUAGCCGAUUUAAUUCGCGCGAAAAGCAUAUGCUCACAGACUCAGUUCAGCCAUAUAAUAAACCGAUUAUUGACCUCGCUUGUUCGGUCUGUACUGUGAAAUAUCAGACCUCUGUUACCUUGGUCUGAUAUUUCACAGUACAGACCUAACGCUCGGUCAAUAAGCCGUUAAUAUUUACAUUAUUUUGAAUGUUUAAUUACGUGGAUUUAUGCGAAGGGCAAAUGAUCUUCGUGCAAUGUUUAUCGCUAUUGUUCUGACGUGUUUACGAAAAUGUACAACAUUUUCUCAUUCAACCUCGAUCACUGGCAGACAAUAUUUGCAUAGUAAAGGAAGAAAGAUUGCUGUUUUGGCAUGUCUGUAGUAUAAAUGUGUAAUAUUCUUGCUUCACUUUGACAAAAAAUGAUAGGAGAGUUAUGGAAGUACAUCAAAAUGUAUUUUGGAGUGAGUGGAAGAUCAACCUGGAUGUUCCGUACGAAGAUAUUUCUGACAACGUAAGGUUGAGCCAAGGAGCACUGGAAAUUUGUAUAAAAGUAAGUUGUAAACUUAAAGUUGUAAAGUUGUAUAGCUUGGUAUUUUCGGGAUUUAUUUUUGUCGAAGGCUAGCGUAUGUAUAAACAACUACAGGCACAAAAAGUCUUAUUAUUGUGGAAAUGCAUAUCGCUUUAAAUAUGAUUAGUUGGUUGGACAAAAACUGGAAAAUGAAAACAUCUUGAAAACUUCUUGGAACCAUCUUGCAACCCAAGAUAUAGACUAAAAAGAGCAGGACGUGAAUUUAAACGGUUUAAAUUUUCGUCUUAAUUGCUUUACCACUUACAUUUACGUUUUGUUUUGUCCACAUCUUGGGUUUCAAGAUGUUUUCUGUUUUUGUUUUAUUUUCUGAAAUUGUCGGCUUGUUCUCAUGGCUUUUGGUCAUUUGUACUGCCCCAGAAACGAAAAGGUUUUCGCAACGCAGCGACCAUUCCAUUACGAUCUCUUCACCCUCGUUUGAAUCACGUUAUAGUACUCAGUUAGUUGAAUAUAUAUUAUUAUUAUAUGUUCGUUUUUGGGUUACCACUAAAAGCCGGAACGUGGAACGCUAGCUGGAAGAUCGGACAGCCGAAAUGGAAAUCCAGAAAACCUGCUAAAAAAUCUCUAAACGAAACCCUGAAUGCCGCCCAUGAGAUUUCUUGAUUCUUGAGUUUUUGUUGACACAAAAUACAAAGGCUUACAAGGUAUCGUGUUAUUUUCUUCCAAUAUUACAGCUGGCAAUUUCAACAUACAACUUGCUAUUUUCGACAUUAAACUACAUUGUUUGUAUUUUCAACACUAUACAACUUGCAAUUUAUGGCUGAUCUGUUUUAAACUACACCCGAGUGAUUAAUUUUCAAUGUGAAACUUAAACGUUUUUAAUGAAAUGUUAGAAGUAGAAAUUAUAAAGGUACAAAUUGCAAGUUCUAGUCAGUUUAAAAAAAGUAACGUGGCAGGUUGUAUGUUGAAAUUGCCAGCUGUAAUUUUCGCGGGAAGUGUACACCAUAACUUUGAAACGUUUUGUAUAUUGAACUCAAGAAAGUUCUUGAGUGGCGUUUCUGGUUUUCGGUUGAGAUAUUUUAGCAUUCCGUCUUUGCUGUUCCAGCGUUCCACGUUUUUCAUUAGGGUGUUCUAUACGUUCUGGCGUUAGCUGGUGCUAACGUUCAUGUGAGCACCGGAGCGAAUUAAAACUGUCACAGUAGACAGUUACAACGCUUGUUCAAGCUGGUUCGCUUGACCCGCAUGCCCAGAAUAACGACCUUAAGGUAAUUCCGCAGUAAUUGUUCCCGAAAUGAGAAUGUGCUGAAACUUCCCAGGCAUGGAGUUUAUGAUAUACUUAAAGUAAAAUCACAAAAAAAAGUCUGGGUCACCGAACUCGUUAAGAAGAUAUGACAAUCACAAUAUACCACCUUUACCCUAAUAUGGAGCCAUCUUGACGCUCAUUACUAGUAACAGCAAACUCACAACAGCCCAAUAUUUAUUGACUUUUUUAGCUCGGAUUUUGCUUUAGUAAACCUAUUUUGUAAUUAUUUUUGAAAAAAUAUUGUGUUUUGAGCAAAAUGAAACUACUAACGUGUACAAUUCUGAUCCACAAAUGUCUUGUGCACAUUUCUUUACAUGUCUUUCUUUGAGAACAUGCAUUCGGAUAUGAAAUGUAAAAUGCAUUAAAGAAAUAAAUUAUCAGUUAAAAACGGGGGUCACCGAUCUUUUUAGGGAAUUGUGGCAUUAAAACGUGAAAUACAAGUAAAUAAAUAGACACAGGGAACCCUAGCUACACUUUUGUAUCCCUUUUUUGAAAACAUUGAUUUUAACGUAAUUCUUUGCACGAAUGUAACCAAAGAUGUUUUGAAGUAACAUAAAAUUGUCAUAAAAUGAUAUUUUGUUUUAAACGGUACGUAUAAUGGUGAAAUUAUAAGUUAUAAGAUGUGCGCAGUAAAAGUGCGCAAUGCAAAACUGCGGAAUUACCUUAAAUAGUUUUAUUGGGCUAAAUCUAUUUUUGUAAAUUAAUCCAGAGGCAGUGGUUCAAUCAGUGCUGUUAUAUUAUAUAGAGUAACGACCGAGUAAAAAUUGAAUCAACAGACCACAGUACUUUACAGGUAAACUCUGGCUUACUUGGUGCGUUUGCUGUUUGUUAUAUACAAUAAUUUGGAUAACUGUUAAAUUACAAUAAAUUUAUUUUUCAGAUUGUACAGAAAAAGCUAGAAGAACAAUUGUAUCAUUAUCGAUCGAGCCACAAAAUAACUCGUUU